rnacentral:rRNA from 1 species
UACGUAGGUGGCAAGCGUUGUCCGGAAUUAUUGGGCGUAAAGCGUGCGCAGGCGGCCAUCCAAGUCAGUGGUGAAAGCCCGGAGCUCAACUCCGGAAUUGCCAUUGAAACUGUUUGGCUCGAGUACGAGAGAGGUGAGUGGAAUUCCCAGUGUAGAGGUGAAAUUCGUAGAUAUUGGGAAGAACACCGGUGGCGAAGGCGGCUCACUGGCUCGUAACUGACGCUCAUGCACGACAGCGUGGGGAUCAAACAGG